CGGGGCUAAACCAUGCACCGAAGCUGCGGCAGCGACACUGUGUGUUGUUGGGUAGGGGAGCGUUCUGUAAGCCUGUGAAGGUGUACUGUGAGGAUGCUGGAGGUAUCAGAAGUGCGAAUGCUGACAUAAGUAACGAUAAAGCGGGUGAAAAGCCCGCUCGCCGGAAGACCAAGGGUUCCUGUCCAACGUUAAUCGGGGCAGGGUGAGUCGACCCCUAAGGCGAGGCCGAAAGGCGUAGUCGAUGGGAAACAGGUUAAUAUUCCUGUACUUGGUGUUACUGCGAAGGGGGGACGGAGAAGGCUAUGUUGGCCGGGCGACGGUUGUCCCGGUUUAAGCGUGUAGGCUGGUUUUCCAGGCAAAUCCGGAAAAUCAAGGCUGAGGCGUGAUGACGAGGCACUACGGUGCUGAAGCAACAAAUGCCCUGCUUCCAGGAAAAGCCUCUAAGCAUCAGGUAACAUCAAAUCGUACCCCAAACCGACACAGGUGGUCAGGUAGAGAAUACCAAGGCGCUUGAGAGAACUCGGGUGAAGGAACUAGGCAAAAUGGUGCCGUAACUUCGGGAGAAGGCACGCUGAUAUGUAGGUGAAGUCCCUCGCGGAUGGAGCUGAAAUCAGUCGAAGAUACCAGCUGGCUGCAACUGUUUAUUAAAAACACAGCACUGUGCAAACACGAAAGUGGACGUAUACGGUGUGACGCCUGCCCGGUGCCGGAAGGUUAAUUGAUGGGGUCAGCGCAAGCGAAGCUCUUGAUCGAAGCCCCGGUAAACGGCGGCCGUAACUAUAACGGUCCUAAGGUAGCGAAAUUCCUUGUCGGGUAAGUUCCGACCUGCACGAAUGGCGUAAUGAUGGCCAGGCUGUCUCCACCCGAGACUCAGUGAAAUUGAACUCGCUGUGAAGAUGCAGUGUACCCGCGGCAAGACGGAAAGACCCCGUGAACCUUUACUAUAGCUUGACACUGAACAUUGAGCCUUGAUGUGUAGGAUAGGUGGGAGGCUUUGAAGUGUGGACGCCAGUCUGCAUGGAGCCGACCUUGAAAUACCACCCUUUAAUGUUUGAUGUUCUAACGUGGACCCGUGAUCCGGGUUGCGGACAGUGUCUGGUGGGUAGUUUGACUGGGGCGGUCUCCUCCUAAAGAGUAACGGAGGAGCACGAAGGUUGGCUAAUCCUGGUCGGACAUCAGGAGGUUAGUGCAAUGGCAUAAGCCAGCUUGACUGCGAGCGUGACGGCGCGAGCAGGUGCGAAAGCAGGUCAUAGUGAUCCGGUGGUUCUGAAUGGAAGGGCCAUCGCUCAACGGAUAAAAGGUACUCCGGGGAUAACAGGCUGAUACCGCCCAAGAGUUCAUAUCGACGGCGGUGUUUGGCACCUCGAUGUCGGCUCAUCACAUCCUGGGGCUGAAGUAGGUCCCAAGGGUAUGGCUGUUCGCCAUUUAAAGUGGUACGCGAGCUGGGUUUAGAACGUCGUGAGACAGUUCGGUCCCUAUCUGCCGUGGGCGCUGGAGAACUGAGGGGGGCUGCUCCUAGUACGAGAGGACCGGAGUGGACGCAUCACUGGUGUUCGGGUUGUCAUGCCAAUGGCACUGCCCGGUAGCUAAAUGCGGAAGAGAUAAGUGCUGAAAGCAUCUAAGCACGAAACUUGCCCCGAGAUGAGUUCUCCCUGACCCUUUAAGGGUCCUGAAGGAACGUUGAAGACGACGACGUUGAUAGGCCGGGUGUGUAAGCGCAGCGAUGCGUUGAGCUAACCGGUACUAAUGAACCGUGAGGCUUAACCU
rnacentral:rRNA from 1 species